GAUGAACGCUGGCGGCGUGCCUAAUACAUGCAAGUCGAGCGAACAGACGAGGAGCUUGCUCCUCUUACGUUAGCGGCGGACGGGUGAGUAACACGUGGAUAACCUACCUAUAAGACUGGGAUAACUUCGGGAAACCGGAGCUAAUACCGGAUAAUAUAUUGAACCGCAUGGUUCAAUAGUGAAAGACGGUUUUGCUGUCACUUAUAGAUGGAUCCGCGCCGCAUUAGCUAGUUGGUAAGGUAACGGCUUACCAAGGCAACGAUGCGUAGCCGACCUGAGAGGGUGAUCGGCCACACUGGAACUGAGACACGGUCCAGACUCCUACGGGAGGCAGCAGUAGGGAAUCUUCCGCAAUGGGCGAAAGCUUGACGGAGCAACGCCGCGUGAGUGAUGAAGGUCUUCGGAUCGUAAAACUCUGUUAUUAGGGAGGAACAAAUGUGUAAGUAACUAUGCACGUCUUGACGGUACCUAAUCAGAAAGCCACGGCUAACUACGUG
rnacentral:rRNA from 1 species